CCCUACGGGGGGCAGCAGUAGGGAAUCUUCGGCAAUGGGGGCAACCCUGACCGAGCAACGCCGCGUGAGUGAAGAAGGUUUUCGGAUCGUAAAGCUCUGUUGUAAGAGAAGAACGUGUGUGAGAGUGGAAAGUUUACACAGUGACGGUAACUUACCAGAAAGGGACGGCUAACUACGUGCCAGCAGCCGCGGUAAUACGUAGGUCCCGAGCGUUAUCCGGAUUUAUUGGGCGUAAAGCGAGCGCAGGCGGUUGGGUAAGUCUGAAGUUAAAGGCUGUGGCUUAAACAUAGUAUGCUUUGGAAACU
rnacentral:rRNA from 1 species